rnacentral:rRNA from 1 species
UACGUAGGGGGCAAGCGUUGUUCGGAUUUACUGGGCGUAAAGGGCGCGUAGGCGGCCAGCACAAGUCAGUUGUGAAAUCUCCGAGCUUAACUCGGAAAGGUCAACUGAUACUGUGCGGCUAGAGUGCAGAAGGGGCAACUGGAAUUCUUGGUGUAGCGGUGAAAUGCGUAGAUAUCAAGAGGAACACCUGCGGCGAAGGCGGGUUGCUGGGCUGACACGUGACGCUGAAGCGCGAAAGCCAGGGGAGGCGAAACGGG